UACGGAGGGUGCGAGCGUUAAUCGGAAUUACUGGGCGUAAAGGGUGCGUAGGCGGCUUGAUAAGUCGGAUGUGAAAGCCCCGGGCUUAACCUGGGAAUUGCAUUCGAUACUGUCAGGCUAGAGUAUGUCAGAGGUUGGCGGAAUUCCUGGUGUAGCGGUGAAAUGCGUAGAUAUCAGGAGGAACACCAGUGGCGAAGGCGGCUAACUGGGGCAAUACUGACGCUGAGGCACGAAAGCGUGGGGAGCAAACAGGAUUAGAAACCCUUGUAGUCC
rnacentral:rRNA from 1 species